CUUAGAGAAAAAAUCUCAUAAUUUUUAAAGACUUAAAAGUAUUUUUAAACAAUUAAAAAUAAACACAAAAUCAAUUACAUCAAGAAAAAUAUUAAUAAUGAUCCAAAAAAUAAUUUUAAUUCAAAAUAUGAAAGAGGAAUUUAUUUAAAAUUUUUUGGUGAAACUCUCAUAUUUUUUGGAGCAAUAUUAAAAUUAACAUGAAUUAAUGAAAAUCAAAUGAAUUAAAACAAAAAUGAAAAAAUGAUUAAAAAA
rnacentral:lncRNA from 1 species